rnacentral:rRNA from 1 species
AACGAACGCUGGCGGCAGGCUUAACACAUGCAAGUCGAGCGCCCCGCAAGGGGAGCGGCAGACGGGUGAGUAACGCGUGGGAAUCUACCCAUCUCUACGGAAUAACGCAUGGAAACGUGUGCUAAUACCGUAUACGUCAUUCGGGAGAAAGAUUUAUCGGAGAUGGAUGAGCCCGCGUUGGAUUAGCUAGUUGGUGGGGUAAAGGCCUACCAAGGCGACGAUCCAUAGCUGGUCUGAGAGGAUGAUCAGCCACACUGGGACUGAGACGCGGCCCAGGCUCCUACGUGAGGGAGCAGUGGGGAAUAUUGGACAAUGGGCGCAAGCCUGAUCCAGCCAUGCCGCGUGAGUGAUGAAGGCGCUAGGGUUGUAAAGCUCUUUCACCGGUGAAGAUAAUGACGGUAACCGGAGGAGAAGCCCCGGCUAACUUCGUGCCAGCCGCCGCAGUAAAAC